rnacentral:rRNA from 1 species
AACGAACGCUGGCGGCGUGGAUUAGGCAUGCAAGUCGUGCGCGAAAGGAGGGGCAACCCUCCGAGUAGAGCGGCGAACUGGUGAGUAACAGGUGGGUAACGUGCCCCAAAGUGGGGGAUAACCCAGGGAAACUUGGGCUAAUACCGCAUGUGGUCAUGAGGACUAUGGUCCAAAUGACCAAAGGAGUAAUUCGCUUUGGGAUCGGCCCGCCCCCGAUUAGCUUGUUGGUGAGGUAAUGGCNCACCAAGGCUCCGAUCGGUAGCUGGUCUGAGAGGAUGGUCAGCCACACUGGGACUGAGAUACGGCCCAGACUCCUACGGGGGGCAGCAGUCUAGAGGCUUCGGCAAUGGGGGAAACCCGUGACCGAGCGACGCCGCGUGCGGGAUUUGAA